UCCGUAGGCGGUUUAGUAAGUCAGUGGUGAAAGCCCAUCGCUCAACGGUGGAACGGCCAUUGAUACUGCUGAACUUGAAUUAUUAGGAAGUAACUAGAAUAUGUAGUGUAGCGGUGAAAUGCUUAGAGAUUACAUGGAAUACCAAUUGCGAAGGCAGGUUACUACUAAUGGAUUGACGCUGAUGGACGAAAGCAUGGGUAGCGAACAGGAUUAGAUACCCUGGUAGUCCACGCCGUAAACGAUGGAUACUAGCUGUUGGGGGCAACUUCAGUGGCUAAGCGAAAGUGAUAAGUAUCCCACCUGGGGAUACGUUCGCAAGAAUGAA
rnacentral:rRNA from 1 species